GUCUAUGGCCAUGCUACCCUGAACAUGCCCGAUCCCGACUGAUCUUGGAAGCUAAGUAGGGUCAGGUCUGGUUAGUACUUGGAGGGGAGACCACCUAGGAAGACCAGAUGCUAUAGGUG
rnacentral:rRNA from 1 species